rnacentral:tRNA from 1 species
GGCUCAGUCGCUUGAGGCAAUGAGCGCUCCCACAUAACGGAGACGUCGUCGGUUCGAAUCCGGCCUGAGCCC